CCUACGGGGGGCAGCAGUGGGGAAUAUUGGGCAAUGGGCGCAAGCCUGACCCAGCAAUGCCGCGUGAAGGAAGAAGGCUUUCGGGUUGUAAACUUCUUUGACAGGGGAAGAGCAGAAGACGGUACCCUGAAAACAAGCCACGGCUAACUACGUGCCAGCAGCCGCGGUAAUACGUAGGUGGCAAGCGUUGUCCGGAUUUACUGGGUGUAAAGGGCGUGUAGCCGGGAAGGCAAGUCAGAUGUGAAAUCCGGAGGCUCAACCUCCGAAUUGCAUUUGAAACUGUUUUUCUUGAGUACUGGAGAGGC
rnacentral:rRNA from 1 species